rnacentral:rRNA from 1 species
CCUACGGGUGGCAGCAGUGGGGAAUAUUGGACAAUGGGGGCAACCCUGAUCCAGCCAUGCCGCGUGUGUGAAGAAGGCCCUCGGGUUGUAAAGCACUUUCAGUGAGGAAGAACGCCUGGUGGUUAAUACCCAUCAGGAAAGACAUCACUCACAGAAGAAGCACCGGCUAACUCCGUGCCAGCAGCCGCGGUAAUACGGAGGGUGCGAGCGUUAAUCGGAAUUACUGGGCGUAAAGCGCGCGUAGGUGGCUUGAUAAACCGGUUGUGAAAGCCCCGGGCUCAACCUGGGAACGGCAUCCGGAACUGUCAAGCUAGAGUGCAGGAGAGGAAGGUAGAAUUCCCGGUGUAGCGGUGAAAUGCGUAGAGAUCGGGAGGAAUACCAGUGGCGAAGGCGGCCUUCUGGACUGACACUGACACUGAGGUGCGAAAGCGUGGGUAGCAAACAGGAUUAGAUACCCUAGUAGUC